UGGGGAAUUUUGGACAAUGGGCGAAAGCCUGAUCCAGCCAUGCCGCGUGUGGGAUGAAGGCCUUCGGGUUGUAAACCACUUUUGUCAGGGACGAAAAGGUUCAGGCUAAUACCUUGAACUGUUGACGGUACCUGAAGAAUAAGCACCGGCUAACUACGUGCCAGCAGCCGCGGUAAUACGUAGGGUGCAAGCGUUAAUCGGAAUUACUGGGCGUAAAGCGUGCGCAGGCGGUUCAGUAAGAUAGAUGUGAAAUCCCCGGGCUUAACCUUGGAAUUGCAUUUAUGACUGCAGGACUCGAGUUUGUCAGAGGGGGGUGGAAUUCCAAGUGUAGCAGUGAAAUGCGUAGAUAUUUGGAAGAACACCGAUGGCGAAGGCAGCCCCCUGGGACAUGACU
rnacentral:rRNA from 1 species